rnacentral:rRNA from 1 species
CCUGUGAGGGUUGCUGGAGGUAUCAGAAGUGCGAAUGCUGACAUAAGUAACGAUAAAGCGGGUGAAAAGCCCGCUCGCCGGAAGACCAAGGGUUCCUGUCCAACGUUAAUCGGGGCAGGGUGAGUCGACCCCUAAGGCGAGGCCGAAAGGCGUAGUCGAUGGGAAACAGGUUAAUAUUCCUGUACUUGGUGUUACUGCGAAGGGGGGACGGAGAAGGCUAUGUUAGCCGGGCGACGGUUGUCCCGGUUUAAGCAUGUAGGCUGGUUGUCCAGGCAAAUCCGGAUAAUCAAGGCUGAGGUGUGAUGACGAGGCACUACGGUGCUGAAGUAACAAAUGCCCUGCUUCCAGGAAAAGCCUCUAAGCAUCAGGUAACAU